GAUGAACGCUGGCGGCGUGCCUAAUACAUGCAAGUCGAGCGAACGGACGAGAAGCUUGCUUUUCUGAUGUUAGCGGCGGACGGGUGAGUAACACGUGGAUAACCUACCUAUAAGACUGGGAUAACUUCGGGAAACCGGAGCUAAUACCGGAUAAUAUUUUGAACCGCAUGGUUCAAAAGUGAAAGACGGUCUUGCUGUCACUUAUAGAUGGACCCGCGCUGCAUUAGCUAGUUGGUAAGGUAACGGCUUACCAAGGCAACGAUGCAUAGCCGACCUGAGAGGGUGAUCGGCCACACUGGAACUGAGACACGGUCCAGACUCCUACGGGAGGCAGCAGUAGGGAAUCUUCCGCAAUGGGCGAAAGCCUGACGGAGCAACGCCGCGUGAGUGAUGAAGGUCUUCGGAUCGUAAAACUCUGCUAUUAGGGAAGAACAUAUGUGUAAGUAACUGUGCACAUCUUGACGGUACCUAAUCAGAAAGCCACGGCUAACUACGUG
rnacentral:rRNA from 1 species